UACAGAGGGUGCGAGCGUUAAUCGGAAUGACUGGGCGUAAAGGGUGCGUAGGUGGUUAAUUAAGUUAGCUGUGAAAGCCCCGGGCUUAACCUGGGAAUUGCAGCUAAAACUGAAUAGCUAGAGUAGGGGAGAGGAGUGUGGAAUUCCGGUGUAGCGGUGAAAUGCGUAGAGAUCGGAAAGAACACCAGUGGCGAAGGCGGCACUCUGGAACCAUACUGACACUGAGGCACGAAGGCGUGGGGAGCAAACAGG
rnacentral:rRNA from 1 species